rnacentral:rRNA from 1 species
CCUACGGGUGGCAGCAGUGGGGAAUAUGGGGCAAUGGGCGCAAGCCUGACCCAGCAACGCCGCGUGAAGGAAGAAGGCUUUCGGGUUGUAAACUUCUUUUCUCAGGGACGAAGAAAGUGACGGUACCUGAGGAAGAAGCAACGGCUAACUACGUGACAGCAGCCGCGGUAAUACGGAGGUGGCAAGCGUUAUCCGGAUUUACUGGGUGUAAAGGGCGUGUAGGCGGGAAAGCAAGUCAGCUGUGAAAACCAUGGGCUCAACCUGUGGCCUGCAUUUGAAACUGUUUUUCUUGAGUACUGGAGAGGCAGACGGAAUUCCUAGUGUAGCGGUGAAAUGCGUAGAUAUUAGGAGGAACACCAGUGGCGAAGGCGGUCUGCUGGACAGCAACUGACGCUGAGGCGCGAAAGCGUGGGGAGCAAACAGGAUUAGAUACCCUUGUAGUC